UACGGAGGGUGCAAGCGUUAAUCGGAAUUACUGGGCGUAAAGCGUGCGCAGGCGGUUUGUUAAGUCCGCUGUGAAAUCCCCGGGCUCAACCUGGGAAUGGCAGUGGAUACUGGCAAGCUAGAGUGCGGUAGAGGGUAGUGGAAUUCCCGGUGUAGCAGUGAAAUGCGUAGAGAUCGGGAGGAACACCAGUGGCGAAGGCGAGUCUCUGGACGACUCCUGACACUGAGGCACGAAAGCUAGGGGAGCAAACAGG
rnacentral:rRNA from 1 species